rnacentral:rRNA from 1 species
UACGUAGGGUCCGAGCGUUGUCCGGAAUUACUGGGCGUAAAGAGCUCGUAGGUGGUUUGUCGCGUUGUUCGUGAAAACUCACAGCUCAACUGUGGGCGUGCGGGCGAUACGGGCAGACUUGAGUACUGCAGGGGAGACUGGAAUUCCUGGUGUAGCGGUGGAAUGCGCAGAUAUCAGGAGGAACACCGGUGGGGAAGGCGGGUCUCUGGGCAGUAACUGACGCUGAGGAGCGAAAGCGUGGGGAGCGAACAGG